GGACUGCAAAGCCGAGAGGCCGCGCUACUCUUAUAAUCCCUAACGUAGUUGGGAUUGACGUUUGUAAUCAGCGUCAUGAACCAGGAAUCCCUUGUAAAUGUGUGUCAACAACGCACGUUGAAUACGUCCCUGCCCUUUGUACACACCGCCCGUCGCUCCUACCGAUUGGAUGACUCGGUGAAAUCAAC
rnacentral:rRNA from 1 species